rnacentral:rRNA from 1 species
GCAAGCGUUAAUCGGAAUUACUGGGCGUAAAGCGUGCGCAGGCGGUCCGCUAAGACAGAUGUGAAAUCCCCGGGCUUAACCUGGGAACUGCAUUUGUGACUGGCGGGCUAGAGUAUGGCAGAGGGGGGUAGAAUUCCACGUGUAGCAGUGAAAUGCGUAGAGAUGUGGAGGAAUACCGAUGGCGAAGGCAGCCCCCUGGGCCAAUACUGACGCUCAUGCACGAAAGCGUGGGGAGCAAACAGGAUUAGAUACCCUGGUAGUCCACGCCCUAAACGAUGUCAACUAGUUGUCGGGUCUUCAUUGACUUGGUAACGUAGCUAACGCGUGAAGUUGACCGCCUGGGGAGUACGGUCGCAAGAUUAAAACUCAAAGGAAUUGACGGGGACCCGCACAAGCGGUGGAUGAUGUGGAUUAAUUCGAUGCAACGCGAAAAACCUUACCUACCCUUGACAUGU